GUGAAACCAGGAAGGGGAGGCCCAGGCUGUGAGCUAGAGAAAAGUUCACCUGAUUUUGUCUGAGAAGCCCUGCAGCAUAUCCCUGGCAAGUAUGAAGACUUCCUUCAGGUCAUCUAUGAGUUUGAGUCAAGUACUCAGAGGCAGACAGCUGUGGAUCUCUACAAGAGCCUGCAAAUUCUGCUCCAGGACUGGCCUCAGCUGUUGAAGGACUUUGCUGCUUUCUUGUUGCCUGAGCAAGCACUGGCCUGUGGAUUAUCUACAGGUGUAAAGUGGAC